CGAACCUGGCUGUUGGCACUGUAGACACAUCCACAGUUAAUGUGUUCCUGCAAGUCCUUUGCAAGGAAGAGCCGUGUCUGAGCUGUUCGUCCUGGGAAGGACACCUGGCUGGACCCUUUCUCCCAUAAAACAGCAGCAAAUGAUGGCAUAAGAGAGCAAAGCAUGAGGUGCCUGAAAACCCGUUUGAGGGGCAA
rnacentral:lncRNA from 1 species